rnacentral:lncRNA from 1 species
UAGUCAUGGAAACUGCACUCUGAUCCUUGGAGCAUAGUUUCGCCAGACCGAAAUCAGAGAUUUUUGGAUUGAAAUUGUCGUCUAGCAAGAUGUUAUGAGGUUUGAUGUCGAAAUGGAGGAUUCGCUGAUCACAACCUUGGUGAAGAUACUCUAUUCCUUUGGCCAUGCCAAGAGCAAUAUCCUGAAGUUUCUCCCAACUAAGAGCGGAUGCGUCGCCAUGCUCUGAAGAUAUAAAUUUCUCUAGUGAUUCAUUUGACAGGUAGUCGUAAACUAGAGCUCUUCUAAAUCCAUCAGCACAGUAGCCGACUAAGCGAAUAACGUUGACGUGAUGGAUUUUUCCCAUUGUUCCCACUUCAUUAACGAACUCUUCUCCAUUCCCUGUUGAAUUGUUCAGGAUCUUCACGGCUACAAAGAUCUCAUCAGAAAGCUGUCCUUUGAACACAGUUCCAUACGCUCCCUGACCCAACUUGUCCUUGAAUUCAUUCGUAAUCCUUUUUAUGUCGGCAUACGUAUAUCUGGUGGGCUUGAAAGCUUUAUAAUCUGCCAAAAAGUUUUCAAUCCUUUUCUGAUUUUCUUUCGCUGCUUUGUCAGAGCUGUAGACACGGAAGGCUGCAAAAAAAACCAGUAAUAGAAGAACCGAACCCACGGUCGCGACUGCAUAGAAAAUAUUUGUGAUCAAUAAAUCAUCAAUUUAGUUUAGACGUUGCUAGGUAAGGAAAGAAGUUGAAAAUGCCAAAUUCGCAGAAUUCUCACCUGAAGCCUCUAUCUUUUUCUUGAUGUCUGGAAAGAAAAUAUAUGGUAUCGUCAGCUUCUUUAGCAGCAUGUAUUUGAGAAUAAUAAUCCAUGGAUUCUAUGGAAACCAUGACUAAGGAGCCUAAUUCCAAAGAUUUAUCAAGUAGCCAACCUAAUGAUAUAUGGACAAAUUUGUUUCCAAUUAAGUUCACUUCAAACUUAUUUUUAUGUUCAACGUGACAUGGAUACUAUAUAUUUCAUCUCUAAUGCUUGAAGAACUGACAAGAAAAUUUGAUUUUCUAAACUAACAAAUGAUCCAAUAGUUCCAAGAUGAACAGAAAAAUGUGCAAGACAGACCAUACCUUCUUUUGAUUUAGGCUUGUCAUAGCAUUCAGUUCCAAGCCCAGCACUGUUAUUCUUCGAUCUGCAGAACUUGCCAUGAGCUUCACAAUGUACACAUUCUGGCCCUGACCAAUUCAAAUGAAGUAUAUUGUUCUGCCAAAAGAUUUCCCCUGGAAUUGAUGAAAGAUUAUACAUCUUGGUACAAGAAGUCAGGUCGCUAUAGCCGAUGAGAUAAGAGGAAAAAUAGGCAAAAAUAUCAUAUCCAGGACCACUAAGGCAAGCCAGUUGCCGAGAUGUAUCUCCCUUCCAUGAUGUACAGUUGAAAAAUGCAUAAUCAUCCUGCUCCAUGUCUCCAAACUUGAAAGGAGACGUAGACAAAUUGAAGUGUCUGAGCUGUCCUGGGAGGCAUUGAUCUGGGUCACUAGCGAUGAUCAACUGUGAUGCGUAGUCAAUUUUGUUGACGUAUAGUUUCACAGAAUUUGGUAGCUGCAACAACGUUUCUCUCCUGUCCGUGCAGGAUAGCUCAAACCCAGGAUAGCUACAGUUAUCUGGCUGCUUUUCUCUGAGGCUGAAUGGAAAUCUUAUGGCUGGACCGUCGUUCUUACACCUCGCUUCUUGGCACGGAUCAGGAAGGCCAACUCCAUGACCUACAAGGACCAGCAUCAACAAGCCAACUACAGAGAGAUCCAUUUCCAAAGACAAGUUCUUUUGCGCUCAGCAGCCCUGCAAAUGAUGUUCUUAUCUUGAGAUUGCAACUUGUGGUUUGGCUCUUUAGAGUAAUUUCUGCUUACUUUACUCCAUUGACUUAAAUCAUGGAAAAAUAUUUCAAGAACUGUCAUGGUCUUUGUGGAAUAUAUUUUUGCGUGUGAGUUAGUGAGAUUGGGAUGUGAAAUUGCUAGGAAAGUCGGAGCCAAAUCUGUCACCUCAAGAAAGCAUGGAAUUGUAACCAAAGGUUAGGGAUAAGUCAUAAGUUGUUGUCUAGUUACUCUAGUUUGUAAAUUUUCCAUGGAUUAGAUAAGCAAGAAUCCUUCUUCCAUCCCAAGAGAAAGCAUUAAAUUUUGUGUGAUUUUUCUUCCAUUUUAAGAGAGAUCAAAUAUUUUUUGAAAACUAAAGUACGGUCAUCUAAAGCAAUACAAUGUUCCCAUUUCCAUAGUUGAUGCAUAGCUCAGAAAUUCUUCCUUGAUGCAGAAUUUCAAUGCACAUAGAUGUUGAAAGAGAUGAAUUAUAAAUUGGUUUUAGGUUUUUUUUUUAGUGUUAAGGUUUAAGAAUAUACCAUGACAAUGCUAGUGAGAUUAUUUUAUGUUAAGGUGUUGAUGUUUUCCAAACAAGUUGAUUAUAACCAAGAAAACCUCAUUAAGCCUCAACACAUCUAAAUUUGAUGUUUUGUUAGUGUUUUCCAACCCCACCUACAUUAAGUCUCAAUACACAAAAAAUUAAAUUAUAUAAAAUUUAACUGUAUUUUAAUUCAAGCCUAAAACAUUCUAAAAUAAUCCAAUCUAUUCCUCAAAAACCCAUAUAUCCAGUCCUCAUAUUAAAUCAAUUAAGCCAAAUUAACACUCUAAAACAUUAAUUAAACAUCUUAAAUUACCCAAAAUCCUCUAACCAAACCAAUAGACUCAAGCCUAAAACAACAAGAUCUCUAACUUUCACUUCUUCUUUCCUUUUGUACUUUCUCCUUUCUCUUUUUUUCCCCUUCUUUUCCUUUUUUUUUUUAUGUUCCUCUUUUUUUUUUUUUUUAUUGACUUCCUAUUUAUAUUUAUCAAAAAUAUACGAAAUGAUCCAAAAUAUCCCUAAAUUAUUUAUACCCUUAACUAUUCAUCAAAUGGUAUAAAUGUCUUUUCCAAUCCAUUAUUUUCAACAUAUUACAAAAUGUAUUAAUGGAGUUCUCAUAUUAUUAAUUUGAUCAAUUGAGUCCCUGUACUAUUUAUAAAGACAUUAGCGGUGUUUUGAUACAUGUUCCUAUUGACUAAAUCUAGCUUGGUAUUCAAUUUGUAAAAGAAAAAAAAACGAUCAACAAAUUAUAUUUGAUUUUUAUGAACUUUGAAUUAUUUAAGAUAAUUAAAUAAUAUAAAUAACAACAAUGUAAAACCCUAAGAUAUCCCGUAACUAAAUUAAAAACUUAUCUUUAAAUUACUGUUUCUUUUUCUUAAUUAUUUUAAUGGAAUUUAUGGGAUAUUUUGAUGUUUUUUUGUUGUUUUAAAAUUAUUAUAUCUCUUCCUAGCUUUUUUUGCCUUUUAAGAACUAAGGAUCAUGAUAGAUUUGUCAACAUAAAAACGUGUCAUGUAUCGAGUGUGAUGGAAACUCGUUGCUAAUUCCAUCAUGGAUGAAUGGUUCUGAUUGCAAACAAAACGAGUAUUUAAUGGAAUUAAUGAAUUAAAUCAGCAGUCAUGGGACUUGAUUAGUCAAAUUACAAUAGUUUAGGGACCAAAAGUAACUAUUUCAGAAAAUACCGGCAAUAAUCAAAUUUGGGUAUAAGACUUUUUUAAAUUUAAUUUUAUUAUAUUAAUCUCAAUUGUCACCCAGGCACAUAUCAGAGCCUCAAUUUUACAAGCCUAACAGAGUUAGCAACCCAUCCACCUCGUCAGAUAUGAAAGCAGGGGACGCGCACACAAACAAAAUUCUGAAGUUGAAGGACCACCACGACCAAAUUCACAGUAGGAUGAAUUUAUCCUUGUCAAAACUCAAAGUCCUUGAACUGGAUGUUUGGUACUGAACCAGAUAUCUGGAACAGUCAGUACUAUGCUAUUUCACGAAGUUGAUGCAGAGCAAAAGAGUUUUUCCUCUCUUUUUUUUGGUUGGAAUGCACAAGCUAGCAAAUGCUGGCCAUAUGGAAAAGCUCAAUACUUUUGAUGGGGGACUGCAUCAGCAGUGAUGAUAGUUCUGUUGAAACAUUCAAAUAUCCAUUGGAGUCUGGCUCAUACCUUUCCAAUCCAGGGGAAAGGCGAAAAACAUUCGAAAUUAACCUUCAUUCUUAUCACUUAAAGAACCAAAGAAUAGAGUUCAAAGAUUCAUAAUCUGUAUGCAUUGAUCAUAUUUAUUGAAAGCUUUAGGGGAUCCACCAAAAUGUGGUUACACCUUAUAUGAGAUAGCUUGUGAGAACAAUCGAGUAGUUCAGGAAAAUACUCCAGUUACGGAGACCUCUUUGACCGGCUUCUAUUCAGCAAUGAACACGCUAAGGAUGUCACCGAAGAGUGUAAAUCAGGUGAAGUCUCCUGAAAAAACGAUUAUCUAGUAUAGAGCAUUGUAUGGUCACUCUGCCUCUGAGAUCACUUCCAAAGCUUGAUGAAGAGGUCUCCCCGGCAUAUUGACAUUCCUUCUUCCUUGACCUGCAGAAGCAAAAGGGCUGGGAGGCAUUGUUAAUGUGUCCCCUGCUCCUUCCAACAUUUGAACUACAGCAUUCAUUGAGGGACGAUCCACAGGGUGCCAUUGAAUGCACCAAAGUCCUACAAUUGUCAGCUUCUUGGCAAUCUGUGCAUCACCCUCCUUUUCAAUUCUGAUUCUCAGCUCUUCUCCAUUAUCCAGGCUGUUGUAGACCCAUUCUGGGAAGUAGAUUUGGUUGUUGUUCUCUAUCUUAUCAUCGAUAGUCUUCCUCCCUCCAACCAUUUCAAGCAGCACCAUUCCAAAACUAUAAACAUCAGACUUGUAGGAUACAUUACCGAAGUUCCUAGAGAACACUUCAGGUGCAAUGUACCCCAAGGUUCCUCUAGCUGUAGUCAUGGAAACUGCACUCUGAUCCUUGGAGCAUAGUUUCGCCAGACCAAAAUCAGAGAUUUUUGGAUUGAAAUUGUCGUCUAGCAAGAUGUUAUGAGGUUUGAUGUCGAAAUGGAGGAUUCGCUGAUCACAACCUUGGUGAAGAUACUCUAUUCCUUUGGCCAUGCCAAGAGCAAUAUCCUGAAGUUUCUCCCAACUAAGAGCGGUUGCGUCGCCCUGCUCGGAAGAUAUAAAUUUCUCUAGUGAUUCAUUUGACAG